CCUACGUGAGGCAGCAGUGGGGAAUAUUGCACAAUGGGGGAAACCCUGAUGCAGCGACGCCGCGUGAGUGAAGAAGUAUUUCGGUAUGUAAAGCUCUAUCAGCAGGAACGAGACAAGACGGUACCUUACUAAGAAGCCACGACUAACUACAUGACAGCAGCCGCGGUAAUACGUAGGGGGCAAGCGUUAACCGGAAUCACUGGGUGUAAAGGGAGCGUAGACGGUUGUGCAAGCCUGAAGUGAAAGGCUGGGGCCCAACCGCUGGACUGCUGUUGGAACUGGCAGGCUGGAGUGCAGGAGAGGUGAGUGGAAUUCGUGGUGUAGCGGUGAAAUGCGUAGAUAUCAGGAGGAACACCAGUGGCGAAGGCGGCUUACUGGACUGUAACUGACGUUGAGGCUCGAAAGCGUGGGGAGCAAACAGGAUUAGAUACCCGUGUAGUC
rnacentral:rRNA from 1 species